AUGAAAUUAAUUCUUUGCUGGGUAUUAAAAAUUGCGAGUUUUAAACUGAUGCAAAAUAUUUACACGAGUUUGUGGCGAAAUAUAAAAAACAAGGUACUGUAUAUACAAAGAAGUUCUACCUUUUGUCCUUUAGUUUCCAUUCUAAAUUCUUCCUACUUUCAGAGAAUUUUUUCCCCCAAAGAAACCGUGCCGAUCUACCCCUCCCCUGCGCUGGUACUCUGGACUUUUCCCCAUCCUGGCACCUUUCCUGAGAACUCACUCGGAACGGUCUUCCUCGUUGCUUUUCUUCCUUCCCUCCGUCCUCCCACUUCCUGCCUGGGCCGACCGCGCGGGCCGCGGGCCGCACCUGCAGGACGCGUUUCCAUUGGUGACAUCUUGGCGGGCCCAUCGGUGGCACUUCCUCCUUUACACCCCGUGACCCACGUCCGGCCCGCCGCCCUCAGUCACGCGGCCUCUGCCUCCGGGACGCAGCCCCGCGCGUCGGCCUUCCGGACUCCGGACCCGUCGUGGACAGUUCGUUACCUACCAGGAGUGUCUCCGACUGUGGGCAUCCCCCCUCAGGUGGUUCUUUAAGCCACAAAAAACUGCACCCAAGCUUGUUUGAC
rnacentral:lncRNA from 1 species